rnacentral:rRNA from 1 species
UACGUAGGGGGCAAGCGUUGUCCGGAUUUACUGGGCGUAAAGAGCGUGUAGGCGGCCAAGCAGGUCCGUUGUGAAAACUGGAGGCUUAACCUCCAGACGUCGACGGAAACCGCGUGGCUAGAGUCCGGAAGAGGAGAGUGGAAUUCCUGGUGUAGCGGUGAAAUGCGCAGAUAUCAGGAAGAACACCAAUGGCGAAGGCAGCUCUCUGGGACGGUACUGACGCUGAGGCGCGAAAGCUAGGGUAGCGAACGGG